AGUUUCCUUUAGACGACAAGCCUAACUGCUGGAGCCCUCAAGAGCCUUCACAACUCCAGCUUGAAGAUGCUUGCCGCCGUGUUGCUUUGCCUGAUGUUGUGACCAAUAAGCAUGCGCAGCCAGCACCCGGUCCAGAAGUUCUUGCGGAACAGGCUCUCCCCUUCGCUGCUGAGGCGAUAUUCUCGCCGUGUGAACCAAGGUUUUCCAUU
rnacentral:misc_RNA from 1 species